CCUACGGGAGGCAGCAGUGGGGAAUUUUGCGCAAUGGGCGAAAGCCUGACGCAGCGACGCCGCGUGGAGGAUGAAGGCCCUUGGGUCGUAAACUCCUGUCAGCUGGGAAGAACGCCGUUCGGUGACAAGCCGAGCGGCUUGACUGUACCAGCAAAGGAAGCCCCGGCUAACUCCGUGCCAGCAGCCGCGGUAAUACGGAGGGGGCGAGCGUUGUUCGGAAUUAUUGGGCGUAAAGGGCGCGUAGGCGGCUGAUCAAGUCGGGUGUGAAAUCCCUCGGCUCAACCGAGGAACUGCACCCGAUACUGGUCGGCUAGAGUCCGGGAGGGGAUGGCGGAAUUCCCAGUGUAGCGGUGAAAUGCGUAGAUAUUGGGAAGAACACCAGUGGCGAAGGCGGCCAUCUGGACCGGAACUGACGCUGAGGCGCGAAAGCCAGGGGAGCG
rnacentral:rRNA from 1 species